CUCCCUCCCUCUUGCGCGCNUGCUGCUGCUCUCUCCCCGCCCGCUCUCNGCGUCCGCUGCGCUCNCGCCGCCGCNCCUCCGCCCCGCCCCCCCCCCGCUCGUCCUCNCCUCCGCCCNCUCCUCUGCGCGCGCCCGCCGCGCCCUGCCGCCGCUCGCCCCCCUGCUCGCUUGCGCCUNCUGCCUGCGUUGCCCUGCUCGGGCACUCGAGCCCUGUCGUCCUCGCGGAAUGCCUCUUAGGGACUUUGUUAAAGUUUGGAUCCCAUGNGCCCCUCCCAGAUCCGAACCGGCUUGUGUAAGGCCAGGCCCUAAGCCACCACUUGGCAAAGUCCGCAGCCGUGCACUUGACCGCGUGGAUGGCUUUUGGCUAUCCCCUUUGGAAUAUCCACNCGCCCGGCGCUGUGGACCGUGCGGUUAGCAAGGUAAAACUUUGGCCCUNAGUGGAAAUUCCUUGGCCCUUAGGGGCUAAAGGUUUGNGGGGGGGGAACCAAAACCUGGUUUUUACUGGGACAAUNGUUGGAGAACCGGCCUUAGAAUUUAACCCGGGCCACUAAACCGCUUACCUUAAACCGCGGGGGAAAGGAAAAAAAAGGGCCAGGUGGGGUGGGAACCCUUUAUACCCGGAGUGUGGCGCCCCCUUAAUUGUAGACNCGCCNUUAAAAUAUCCCAAAGAGAAAUUAUGGAAGAGGAGCGCNUAAAUGUGGGUAUCNUCGGCGCACAUAUUAAACAGGNGCCCUUAAAGGCUUAUUUAUAGCAGGUAUAGGCAUCAGGGGCUAAACACAUUAUGGUGCCGUUACCCAAGCCCCGACAAAUGGGNUGGGUCCUCGGAGAACCGCUGGGAAAUUACCGCCGGGUUAAAANCCCUUCGGGUGGAUUANCCUUUAGGGAAAUGGAGCAACUGGCAGCGAAAUUUAGGGAAAUUUCCCAAAACGGUUUUCCCCAAAGACCGACCCGAUUAGGGGGGNAAACAAAACCCCUUAGNGGGAAAUGGAAAACCCAAACCCCAGUUGNGAGUGUAUCCCACCCCANAGGAAAACCCUUUUCCCUCCCCUUUAUAAAACCACNGUGGGUGGCGAACACGGCUAGAGAGCCCAACAGGCNCCCAAANCGAGNUUUGGGGGGCUGGGGGCGAAACAACUAUUAUAAACUUAUUUGUGAGGCGGCGAAACCCCACAAAACUUUAGGUGGGUUGGCNACC
rnacentral:rRNA from 1 species